GACGAACGCUGGCGGCGUGCUUAACACAUGCAAGUCGAACGGUGAAGCGCUUUCCUUUUUGGUUGGUGUGGAUGAGUGGCGAACGGGUGAGUAACACGUGAGUAACCUGCCCCCUUCUUCUGGAUAACCGCAUGAAAGUGUGGCUAAUACGGGAUAUUCUGCGCCUGCUGCAUGGUGGGUGUGGGAAAGAUUGUGCCUUUGGGUGUUUUCGGUGGGGGAUGGGCUCGCGGCCUAUCAGCUUGUUGGUGGGGUGAUGGCCUACCAAGGCGGUGACGGGUAGCCGGCCGGAGAGGGUGGACGGUCACACUGGGACUGAGACACGGCCCAGACUCCUACGGGAGGCAGCAGUGGGGAAGAUUGCACAAUGGGCGCAAGCCUGAUGCAGCGACGCCGCGUGAGGGAUGGAGGCCUUCGGGUUGUGAACCUCUUUCGCCAGUGAAGCAGGCCUGCUCCUUGUGGGUGGGUUGACGGUAGCUGGAUAAGAAGCGCCGGCUAACUACGUG
rnacentral:rRNA from 1 species